AUUGAACGCUGGCGGCAGGCCUAACACAUGCAAGUCGAACGAGUGGCGGACGGGUGAGUAAAGUCUGGGAAACUGCCUGAUGGAGGGGGAUAACUACUGGAAACGGUAGCUAAUACCGCAUACCAUCAGAUGUGCCCAGAUGGGAUUAACUUGUUGGUGGGGUAACGGCUCACCAAGACAACGAUCCAUAGCUGGUCUGAGAGGAUGACCAGCCUCACUCGAACUGUGAAACGCUCGCGACUCCGACGGGCGGCAGCAGUGGGGAAUAUUGCCCUAUGGGCGCAAUCCUGAUGCAGCCAUGCCGCGUGUAUGAAGAAGGCCUGCGUGUUGUACAGUACUUUCAGCGGGGAGGCGUUACCCGCAGAAGAAGCACCGGCUAACUCCGUGCCAGCAGCCGCGGUAAUUC
rnacentral:rRNA from 1 species